UACGUAGGGUCCGAGCGUUGUCCGGAAUUAUUGGGCGUAAAGGGCUCGUAGGCGGUUUGUCGCGUCGGGAGUGAAAACACCGGGCUUAACUCGGUGCUUGCUUUCGAUACGGGCAGACUGGAGGUAUGCAGGGGAGAACGGAAUUCCUGGUGUAGCGGUGAAAUGCGCAGAUAUCAGGAGGAACACCGGUGGCGAAGGCGGUUCUCUGGGCCAUUACUGACGCUGAGGAGCGAAAGCGUGGGGAGCGAGCAGG
rnacentral:rRNA from 1 species